UAGCGUACAAGGCGUUAACACAUAGCAAGUCGAGGGCGAGCGAGAAGAAAGACUUGCUUCUUGUCGGCGACCGGCGCACGGGUGAGUAACGCGUAUCCAACCUUCCCCACUAGUAGGGAAGUAGACCCGGCGGAAAGUCGGAGUUAAUGCCCUAUGUUGUAUUUUGUAGGACAUCUGACGAAUACCAAAGAUUCAUCGCUAUGGGAUGGGGAUGCGUCUGAUUAGCUUGUUGGCGGGGUAACGGCCCACCAAGGCGACGAUCAGUAGGGGUUCUGAGAGGAAGGUCCCCCACAUUGGUACUGAGACACGGACCAAACUCCUACGGGAGGCAGCAGUGAGGAAUAUUGGUCAAUGGGCGCGAGCCUGAACCAGCCAAGUAGCGUGCAGGAUGACGGCCCUAUGGGUUGUAAACUGCUUUUAUGCGGGGAUAAAGUCACCCACGUGUGGGUGUUUGUAGGUACCGCAUGAAUAAGGACCGGCUAAUUCCGUGCCAGCCGCUGC
rnacentral:rRNA from 1 species